UACGUAGGGGGCAAGCGUUGUCCGGAUUUAUUGGGCGUAAAGAGCGUGUAGGCGGCCAGGUAGGUCCGUUGUGAAAACUGGAGGCUUAACCUCGAGCUGUCGAUGGAAACCAUCUGGCUAGAGUCCGGAAGAGGAGAGUGGAAUUCCUGGUGUAGCGGUGAAAUGCGCAGAUAUCAGGAAGAACACCCGUGGCGAAGGCGGCUCUCUGGGACGGUACUGACGCUGAGACGCGAAAGCGUGGGGAGCGAACAGG
rnacentral:rRNA from 1 species